rnacentral:rRNA from 1 species
CGUAACAAGAUUUCCGUAGGUGAACCUGCGGAAGGAUCAUUG